rnacentral:rRNA from 1 species
GGCGAAAGCCUGACGCAGCGACGCCGCGUGAGGGAUGAAGGUUCUCGGAUCGUAAACCUCUGUCAGAAGGGAAGAAAAACCAGGGGAGUAACUUCCCUUGGCCUGACGGUACCUUCAAAGGAAGCACCGGCUAACUCCGUGCCAGCAGCCGCGGUAAUACGGAGGGUGCAAGCGUUAAUCGGAAUCACUGGGCGUAAAGCGCACGUAGGCGGCUUUGUAAGUCAGCGGUGCAAGCCCUUCGCUCAACGAAGGAAUUGCCGUUGAUACUGCUUAGCUUGAGUUUGUGAGAGGAUAGUGGAAUUCCAGGUGUAGGAGUGAAAUCCGUAGAGAUCUGGAGGAACAUCAGUGGCGAAGGCGACUAUCUGGCACAAUACUGACGCUGAGGUGCGAAAGCGUGGGGAUCAAACAGGAUUAGAUACCCUGGUAGUCCACGCUGUAAACGAUGGAUACUAGGUGCCGGAGGCUUGACUUUCAGUGCCGUAGCUAACGCGUUAAGUAUCCCGCCUUGGGAGUACGGUCGCAAGGCUGAAACUCAAAGAAAUUGACG